rnacentral:rRNA from 1 species
AUUGAACGCUGGCGGCAGGCUUAACACAUGCAAGUCGAACGAGUGGCGGUCGGGUGAGUAAUGCUUGGGCAUCUAGCUUAUGGAUGGGGAUAACUACGGGAAACUGUAGCUAAUACCGCGUACCCUAGGAUGAGCCCAAGUGGGAUUAGGUAGUUGGUGAGGUAACGGCUCACCAAGCCGACGAUCUCUAGCUGGCCUGAGAGGAUGACCAGCGACACGGGGACUGAUAACCGGCACAAAUACCUACGGGGGGCAGCAGUGGGGAAUAUUGCGUAAUGGGGGCAACCUGACUCGGCCAUGCCGCGUGGAUGAAGAAGGCCUUCGGGUGGUAAAGUUCUUUAGGUAGCGAAGCGUUAACUACAGAGGAAGCACCGGCUAACUCCGUGCCAGCAGCCGCGGUAAUUC